CGUAGUUCAACUGGAUAGAAUAUCAGAUUUCGGCUCUGAGGGUUGGGGGUUCGAACCCCUCCG
rnacentral:tRNA from 1 species